rnacentral:rRNA from 1 species
CAGCCGCCGCGGUAAUACGUAGGGGGCAAGCGUUAUCCGGAAUUAUUGGGCGUAAAGAGUGCGUAGGUGGUUACCUAAGCAGGGGGUGAAAGGCAGUGGCUCAACCAUUGUUAGCCCCCUGAACUGGGCUACUUGAGUGCAGGAGAGGAAAGCGGAAUUCCUAGUGUAGCGGUGAAAUGCGUAGAUAUUAGGAGGAACACCAGUGGCGAAGGCGGCUUUCUGGACUGUAACUGACACUGAGGCACGAAAGUGUGGGGAGCAAACAGGAUUAGAUACCCUGGUAGUCCACACCGUAAACGAUGAGCACUAGGUGUCGGGGUCGCAAGACUUCGGUGCCGCAGUUAACGCAUUAAGUGCUCCGCCUGGGGAGUACGUACGCAAGUAUGAAACUCAAAGGAAUUGACGGGGACCCGCACAAGCAGCGGAGCAUGUGGUUUAAUUCGAAGCAACGCGAAGAACCUUACCAGGACUUGACAUCCCGAUGAAACUCGCUUAACCGUGAGCCCUCUUCGGAGCAUCGGUGACAGGUGGUGCAUGGCC